rnacentral:rRNA from 1 species
UGGGGAAUUUUGGACCUGGGGGCAACCCUGAUCCAGCCAUUCCGCGUGAGUGAAGAAGGCCUUCGGGUUGUAAAGCUCUUUCGGCAGGAACGAAACGGUGAGCUCUAACAUAGCUUGCUAAUGACGGUACCUGAAGAAGAAGCACCGGCUAACUACGUGCCAGCAGCCGCGGUAAUAAA